UACGUAGGGGGCGAGCGUUGUCCGGAAUCAUUGGGCGUAAAGCGCGUGUAGGCGGCUCGAUAAGUCUGCUGUGAAAGUCCAGGGCUCAACCCUGGAAAGCCGGUGGAAACUGUCGGGCUAGAGUCCGGAAGAGGCGAGUGGAAUUCCUGGUGUAGCGGUGAAAUGCGCAGAUAUCAGGAGGAACACCAAUGGCGAAGGCAGCUCGCUGGGACGGUACUGACGCUGAGACGCGAAAGCGUGGGGAGCAAACAGG
rnacentral:rRNA from 1 species